AGAGUUUGAUCCUGGCUCAGAAUCAACGCUGGCGGCGNNCUUAACACAUGCAAGUCGCACGAGAAAGGGAGCAAUCCUAAGUAAAGUGGCGCACGGGUGAGUAACACGUGGAUCAUCUACCUUUUAGUGGGGAAUACCUCUGGGAAACCGGAGACAAUACCGCAUAAGCCCGCAAGGGGAAAGCAGCAAUGCGCUGAAAGAGGAGUCCGCGGCCGAUUAGCUAGUUGGCGGGGUAACGGCCCACCAAGGCGAAGAUCGGUAGCCGGCCUGAGAGGGCACACGGCCACACUGGCACUGAAACACGGGCCAGACUCCUACGGGAGGCAGCAGUGGGGAAUCUUGCACAAUGGGCGAAAGCCUGAUGCAGCGACGCCGCGUGAGCGAUGAAGCCCUUCGGGGUGUAAAGCUCUUUCGACGGGAACGAUAAUGACGGUACCCGGAGAAGAAGCUGCGGCUAACUACGUGCCAGCAGCCGCGGUAAUACGUAGGCAGCGAGCGUUGUUCGGAAUUACUGGGCGUAAAGAGUGUGUAGGCGGUGUUCCCAGUCUGUUGUGAAAUCUCCCGGCUUAACUGGGAGGGUGCAGCGGAAACUAGAAUGCUAGAGGGUGGGAGAGGUAAGCGGAAUUCCUGGUGUAGCGGUGAAAUGCGUAGAUAUCAGGAGGAACACCUGGUGUAGACAGCUUACUGGACCACUUCUGACGCUGAGACACGAAAGCGUGGGUAGCAAACAGGAUUAGAUACCCUAGUAGUCC
rnacentral:rRNA from 1 species